GUGGGAGCCGCAGGGCUGGGAGAGACACGCAGAGUCUGUGAGGACAGAGAAGAGAAGGAAUGAGCGCCUUGCCGCCACAGCAGUCCCCGUUCUGUGAGAAAACGACAGGACAGAGGCCUCACGUCAGGCCUGGACGUGGCCGCAGGGCCCGGCACCCUGAGCGGGGGUUCCUGCCACACUCCCCGUCACCCCCACCCUGGCAGGCCUGGCGAUCCCGCGGAGCACACACUGUCCUCCGGGGAUUACACGGCGGGAAUGCACCUCGGGAGAAGUGCUACAAACGCAAGUCGGCCGGGUGCGCUCGUCGGCCGUGAGGAGGGCCUCGCCAGAGACGACCUCCUUCAGGUAGUUGGACGGCAGCAGGGCCAGCCGCACGCCACGCAGGAGCACAGGUAGGUGGGCCUUGCGCUCCUCAAGGCUGUGCUUCACCCACUGCAGGACAGCCUCGAAGACAGCCCGCUCAUCCUCGGUCUCCAGCUCGUCACUGGAGAUGAGGUCCA
rnacentral:lncRNA from 1 species